GAUGAACGCUGGCGGCGUGCCUAAUACAUGCAAGUCGAGCGAACAGACGAGGAGCUUGCUCCUCUGACGUUAGCGGCGGACGGGUGAGUAACACGUGGAUAACCUACCUAUAAGACUGGGAUAACUUCGGGAAACCGGAGCUAAUACCGGAUAAUAUAUUGAACCGCAUGGUUCAAUAGUGAAAGACGGUUUUGCUGUCACUUAUAGAUGGAUCCGCGCCGCAUUAGCUAGUUGGUAAGGUAACGGCUUACCAAGGCAACGAUGCGUAGCUGACCUGAGAGGGUGAUCGGCCACACUGGAACUGAGACACGGUCCAGACUCCUACGGGAGGCAGCAGUAGGGAAUCUUCCGCAAAGGGCGAAAGCCUGACGGAGCAACGCCGCGUGAGUGAUGAAGGUCUUCGGAUCGUAAAACUCUGUUAUUAGGGAAGAACAAAUGUGUAAGUAACUAUGCACGUCUUGACGGUACCUAAUCAGAAAGCCACGGCUAACUACGUG
rnacentral:rRNA from 1 species